CUUUAGAAAAAAAACGCUUGUAUACGCUUUAUGGUUUAAUGAAUAUCAAGUCGUGAUAUUUUGUGUGAAUUUCAACACGAGCUAAAUCAGUAAUCACUCUUGUUCACUGAAGCAAAUCACGAAAACCCAAUAAAUAAACACAGCUUGCAAAAUUACUAAAUAUACAUUUUGAAAUACUGCAUUGCUUUGUUAAAUUGAAAAGUUCUUGGAAUUAAAGCACAAUUUUUAUAGAUGACGACUAAGCAAUAAAUCUAAAAAACAAAUGGAGAAGAGGAAAUAAAAAUAAACGCAUUCUACAGCGAAAAAGACAACCCUUUCUUCCAAAAUCUCCAAUUACUCCCGAGGACGUGCGCGAUGCUUUCAAUGAUGAAAAUAUCAUGAACCGUUUUGGCAUGACAAAAGGAAACUUUCCGAAAGUUUUUUUUAAGAAAUUAUAUGCAUCAAGUUCAUUUGCCUAUUGUGUAUUUGCGUCUGACAAGGUCAUCACUUUGAUGCAAGCCAAUAUUGAGGAGCAGUAUAGGCAUUUUUUAAUAGAUGCUACAUUUAAAGUUUGACCUUUCGGGGACUUUAAGCAACUGCUUCUUAUUUAUGUUAAACACAUGCAAAAGAUAACACCGUUCCUAUUUGUUUUGAUGACUCGUAAAACAGAGUUUUGUUACCAACACCUCUUUACAUAUGUUGACUCAAAUAUUUGCUGUCUUAAUGGUGCAUCAUUUAUAUCGGAUUAUGAGAAGGCGAUGUGCAACGCUUUGAAAAAUUUGCAUCCAAAUAUGAAUUUCUUUGCUUGCUGUUCCAUUUUACCCAAGCAUGUAAAAGAAAUGCAAUCAAAACUAUUGGUUUUGGAGAAAAUGCUUUGGUGCAAUAAACAUGCGUAUGUGCUGUUUAUGAAAUUUCUAUAUUUACCUCUUUUACCGGAAUGCAAGAUUGUUGAAUCAUUUAGUCUUCUUAAAGCUCAAGCCACAGCCUUAGAUAAGAAGAUGUUUUCGCCCUUUUUAAAAUAUUUUAAGAAGCACUGGCUUAAGAAGGUGGACCUAAAAAUAUAUCGGUAUACAAACGAUCCACAAGAACCACGGGCUCUGUUGAAGCAUACAAUUUAAACCUGGGCAAUAAAAUUCGAGCAAAGGGACACUUUUUUAAAUUUGUGGAAUGUAUCAUUGAUGCGGAGUAUGAAAAAAGUCGAGAAUUCGCUCUUCUUUUUCAAUAUGGUGGGAUAGGUAAUUCAACACAACCAAAACCUAUACGUGAUCGCGCUCAAAAAAUUAUGGAUGCAAUGGAUUUGUUUGACGAGGGAGAAAUUGACAUACAGGGUUUUUUGACACGAACUGUUUCGCUAAAUGACCGUUUUAAAAAACAGGACCUGUUCGACAGUGUGCAUAUGGGCUCCAAUUUGUCGGGAAUGUCAUCUGAAAUGAAGGUAUCAUCAUCGCUUUCGUCGAGUGACUCAAAAUCUAGUCAAAUAUCCGAUUCAUCUAUAUUUCAAAUGAAUCCCUGCAAUGUAUGUCUCAUCGAACCAAAAUCGAUUUUAUUGCGCCCAUAUAAUCAUGUGAAUAUUUGUGCAGCAUGUUUGGAUCAAAUUCUCGCUCAUAAUCAAGAACAGAACGAUGAUCCUAACGAUCCUGACAGAGGUGAACCAAAAUGUCCAACGUGUCAACAAGUUGUCAAAGAAGCUAUCCAUAAUGUUUAUAUAUUUAAUUCAAAAAUUAAAAUAAUAAACUAAGUUUCACGCACAUUAAAUAAAUGUAUGUAAUAUGGGCAAUUCUCUGACAGAAUUUGUGCGACCGUCUUUACAGUGAAAAAAACAUAAACUAAACCAAUUUGAAAAUAAGUGAGUUAU